rnacentral:rRNA from 1 species
UACGUAGGGUGCAAGCGUUGUCCGGAAUUAUUGGGCGUAAAGAGCUCGUAGGCGGUUUGUCGCGUCUGCUGUGAAAACCCGAGGCUCAACCUCGGGCCUGCAGUGGGUACGGGCAGACUAGAGUGCGGUAGGGGAGAUUGGGAAUUCCUGGUGUAGCGGUGGAAUGCGCAGAUAUCAGGAGGAACACCAAUGGGCGAAGGCAGAUCUCUGGGCCGUAACUGACGCUGAGGAGCGAAAGCAUGGGGAGCGAACAGG